UAGAGCCACAUGCAAGGAAACUUGCACGUGUGGUUCUGGUCGGGGCGACCCCGGUAUACUGUACUAAUUUGUGUAGGUUCCCAUAAUUCGAGUGAGAUUGUCAUGGCGGUUCUAAUUUUAAUUUACCAGUUAUUUGUUUCAUAGUUUUUAUUUGAGCUGCAGACCCCAC
rnacentral:ncRNA from 1 species